GCAAGUCGAGCGCGAAAGCACUUCGGUGUGAGUAGAGCGGCGGACGGGUGAGUAACGCGUAGGAAUCUACCUAGUAGUGGGGGACAACUCGGGGAAACUCGAGCUAAUACCGCAUAAGCCCUACGGGGGAAAGCGGGGGAUCUUCGGACCUCGCGCUAUCGGAUGAGCCUGCGUAAGAUUAGCUAGUUGGUAGGGUAAAAGCCUACCAAGGCGACGAUCUUUAGCUGGUCUGAGAGGAUGAUC
rnacentral:rRNA from 1 species